rnacentral:rRNA from 1 species
GACGAACGCUGGCGGCGUGCUUAACACAUGCAAGUCGAACUGAAAGGCCCUGCUUGCCGGGUGCUCGAGUGGCGAACGGUUGAGUAACACGUGGGUGAUCUGCCCCUUACUUUGGGAUAAGCCUGUGAAACUGGGUCUAAUACUGGAUAGGACCAUGCUGUAGGUGGUGUGGUGGAAAGAUUAGUUUCGGUAAGGGAUGAGCUCGCGGUCUAUCAGCUUGUUGGUGGGGUAAUGGCCUACCAAGGCGUCUACGAGUAGCCGGCCUGAGAGGGUGAACGGCCACAUUGGUACUAAGAUACAGCCCAGAAACCUACGGGACGCAGCAGUGGUGAAGAGUACACAAUAGACGCAAGCCAGAUGCAGCGACACCGCCUUGAUGAUGAAGGCCUUCUGGUUGUAAAAUACUUUCAGCCAUGACAAAGCCCUUAUAGUGACGGUAGUGGAAGAAGAAGCACCGGCUAACUACGUG